rnacentral:rRNA from 1 species
AGAGUUUGAUCAUGGCUCAGAUUGAACGCUGGCGGCAGGCCUAACACAUGCAAGUCGAACGGUAACAGGAAGCAGCUUGCUGCCUCGCUGACGAGUGGCGGACGGGUGAGUAAUGUCUGGGAAGCUGCCUGAUGGAGGGGGAUAACUACUGGAAACGGUAGCUAAUACCGCAUAAUGUCGCAAGACCAAAGAGGGGGACCUUCGGGCCUCUUGCCAUCGGAUGUGCCCAGAUGGGAUUAGCUUGUUGGUGGGGUAACGGCUCACCAAGGCGACGAUCCCUAGCUGGUCUGAGAGGAUGACCAGCCACACUGGAACUGAGACACGGUCCAGACUCCUACGGGAGGCAGCAGUGGGGAAUAUUGCACAAUGGGCGCAAGCCUGAUGCAGCCAUGCCGCGUGUAUGAAGAAGGCCUUCGGGUUGUAAAGUACUUUCAGCGGGGAGGAAGGGAGUAAAGUUAAUACCUUGCUCAUUGACGUUACCCGCAGAAGAAGCACCGGCUAACUCCGUGCCAGCAGCCGCGGUAAUACGGAGGGUGCAAGCGUUAAUCGGAAUUACUGGGCGUAAAGCGCACGCAGGCGGUUUGUUAAGUCAGAUGUGAAAUCCCCGGGCUCAACCUGGGAACUGCAUCUGAUACUGGCAAGCUUGAGUCUCGUAGAGGGGGGUAGAAUUCCAGGUGUAGCGGUGAAAUGCGUAGAGAUCUGGAGGAAUACCGGUGGCGAAGGCGGCCCCCUGGACGAAGACUGACGCUCAGGUGCGAAAGCGUGGGGAGCAAACAGGAUUAGAUACCCUGGUAGUCCACGCCGUAAACGAUGUCGACUUGGAGGUUGUGCCCUUGAGGCGUGGCUUCCGGAGCUAACGCGUUAAGUCGACCGCCUGGGGAGUACGGCCGCAAGGUUAAAACUCAAAUGAAUUGACGGGGGCCCGCACAAGCGGUGGAGCAUGUGGUUUAAUUCGAUGCAACGCGAAGAACCUUACCUGGUCUUGACAUCCACGGAAGUUUUCAGAGAUGAGAAUGUGCCUUCGGGAACCGUGAGACAGGUGCUGCAUGGCUGUCGUCAGCUCGUGUUGUGAAAUGUUGGGUUAAGUCCCGCAACGAGCGCAACCCUUAUCCUUUGUUGCCAGCGGUCCGGCCGGGAACUCAAAGGAGACUGCCAGUGAUAAACUGGAGGAAGGUGGGGAUGACGUCAGGUCAUCAUGGCCCUUACGACCAGGGCUACACACGUGCUACAAUGGCGCAUACAAAGAGAAGCGACCUCGCGAGAGCAAGCGGACCUCAUAAAGUGCGUCGUAGUCCGGAUUGGAGUCUGCAACUCGACUCCAUGGAGU